rnacentral:rRNA from 1 species
GAUGAACGCUGGCGGCGUGCCUAACACAUGCAAGUCGAGCGAUUUACUUCGGUAAAGAGCGGCGGACGGGUGAGUAACGCGUGGGUAACCUGCCCUGUACACACGGAUAACAUACCGAAAGGUAUGCUAAUACGAGAUAAUAUGCUUUUAUCGCAUGAUAGAAGUAUCAAAGCUCCGGAGGUACAGGAUGGACCCGCGUCUGAUUAGCUAGUUGGUAAGGUAACGGCUUACCAAGGCGACGAUCAGUAGCCGACCUGAGAGGGUGAUCGGCCACAUUGGAACUGAGACACGUUCCAAACUCCUACGGGAGGCAGCAGUGGGGAGUAUUGCACAAUGGGCGAAAGCCUGAUGCAGCAACGCCGCGUGAGCGAUGAAGGCCUUCGGGUCGUAAAGCUCUGUCCUCAAGGAAGAUAAUGACGGUACUUGAGGAGGAAGCCCCGGCUAACUACGUGCCAGCCGCCGCGGUAA